AGGGGGAGGCCGGAUCCUGGGCUGUGUCCCGGCGCUCUGUGCUCCCGGUCUGUGCUGUUGGAUUCGUGCUCCCGGGCCGCGCAGCCCCCU
rnacentral:pre_miRNA from 1 species